CCCUCUGCUCCGUCGGGGCGCAGCGAGGAGGAAGAAGGAGCCAGGCCAGGCUGGCCCCUCCUCCCCGCGGACCCCACCUGGCAGCGACCCAGGCGGCCGGUCCCGCCCCUGCACGCGUUGACCCGGGCGACUAACCUGGAUAAGUGACGGGCCCCACCCGUGGGACCCGCACAUCAGUUGCUCAAACCCCUGCCCUGCUUGUGCCACGUGUUUAAGUGGAGGCGUAAACUCUUGAGUACGUUUUCAUUUCCAGAAAGCGUGCUUCCUCUCUGUUUCAGCCCUGAAUACGUUUACUUAAAUAGAAAGCGUAUUUCUAACUUUGCGCUUCUGCCUUAUCCACUCAGGGACUUGUUUGUGAUGAUAUUUUUGCAGAAAAGUCCCUGAACUUCAACCCUUCAUAUCUUUUUAACCACAAUCCCAAAUGAGGUGAUUCCAAAGCCCACUUCUUCGUUUCGUCGAGCCCGUUCUGUUGGUUUCAUUUUCACUAUUGUUUGACACUGUGAAAAUGACCUUUUUUGCCCUUGCGCUAAAUCAGCCCCUCCGAGAGAGAAUGUUUUCCGGCAAGUCUUUCUGCGAUCUUUCCGCACUUCUCCCCGCUGCCUUCUUCACCCCCAGGCAAACCACAAUACCCACUUGCAUGAUAGUCAUGCAGUAACCAUGGUCUUCAACUUGAAUGUUUAUUAAAUGAUUGCUUGUUUAAAAUAUGGUUAUCGUUGUUUCGGUAAUGUUUCUGGGUUAGUGCUUACUUGCUUACUAUGUUGUGAUGCACCUGGUUAUCAUGCCCUGCUAGUUACUAGUAUUACUUUCAUAUUGCCAUGCUUGAUAGUAGUACAUGUUGGGUUGGUCAUGUUCUUCAGUGCAUGACUAACAUCGGUUACCAAGUAUUGUUAAUAUGCAUUGUUCCUUUACUACUAGUUGGUUAAGUGUUUACUCGAUAACGUUAUUGAUGAGUUCUUGCAUGUUAUUUAUGGUUGAUGCUAGUGGUCAUGUUAUACUAUGAGUAGUGCUACACUUGUAAUAUUUAUGCUCGUCAUUAUGCCAUGUUCAAUUGGAGAUUAUUUCAUAGUUGAUAUGAUGGACAGUUAUGUUGCAUCUCGUGCUUAUGUUGAUAUCAUGCUCAUGCAUUGUAAUUGCAUCAUGUUAUUUUAUCAUGGCUCAGCAUUUUGAUUCAAGUUUAACGGGAUUAAAUUGAACUUGAACAACUGUUGGCCGAGUCAUGGUGCCACCAUAUCGAAACUGACCAGUGCAACCACGCUCACCUUCGUGGGAAGGUCCUAACUGGGUCUAUUGUCAUGACUCUCGCCGGUGCCUCCCACUAGGGAAGGUUAUGGGCGUGCUUACCCUGAUCAGGUAGGCGGACAUAACCUUGUGUGCCCGUUGUUUUUAUUUUUAUGGAUCCGGUCCCCGUGAGGGACGUUUGGCCACGACGGUGGUCGGUGUGUCUUUGGUAGACAUGGGGCCACCCAGGACUAGCCCAGUUGGGAGUGGGUCGGAGUGGCUGGGAGGGUGUCAUGGCAGUAGAUCGGUUUUGUCAGAACGCCGUUGGUCCACCCGAUUGGGAGUGCGAGUCCAUGGGUUCCGUGGUGUGGGUACAUUGUGCUACCUCUGCAGAGUGUAUAUUAAACCUAUCGAUAGGGCCCAGUUCGUGUCGGUCCCACCAUGAGUCAACAGUAUUAAUAAUAACUUGAUUAAUGACAACCCCGGUUCGAUGAUGAGAUAAGUUGGUUGUGAUCGCCGGAAUGAUCACCGUUUGAGACCAAGUGUUGGUCAUGGUUGUGAUCGCCGGACUGAUCACCGUGGUAUCAAGGAUAUCGAGUUGUUGGAUAUUCGUGAUGUUGUGCGAGAAUCAUGGGUAAGGAUCAAGCUCCUUGUGGUCAUUUAAUGAUUACUACGGUAUUGUUUAUACCAAGCUUGAUUUGAUCCUGAGAUGAUCGCAUGAUGUCCGAGGAUGGUAAGUGAUGCAUGUGAUGGUUAUGUAGUAACCCGAGCAGAAUAAAUAGUGCAUAUAGUGUCAUCAUGUUGCAUGCUAGUAUCGUCGAAUUCAUAUGUUCAUGCUAUGCUCAUGUUGUUCUAGCUGUAUCAUGUUCAUGCCAUGCUCAUAUUGUUCUAGCAGUAUUAUGUUCAUGUUGUUCAUGUCAUGCUCAUAUUGUUCUAGCAGUAUUAUGUUCAUGUUGUUCAUGCCAUGUUAUCCUGAUGAUCUCAUGAUAAUUUCUGCUUAAAUCUGUAAUUGACAUGCCGUUGUUUGUCUUGAAUGCUUCUAGUUAAUUGUGAGCUUGCAAGUACAUUCAAUUUACUGACCAGGCGUGUCAUGCUAGCUUGCAGGUCAUGCCUGGAUUGCUUGCCUGUUUGGUGUUGUCCCUGUGUUCGCGAGCUAGGAUAAGUGUUCCAGCCAGAGUCCCUGCGUAGUGGAGUUCACCACCGUCGUUGUUGUUCCGCUGCCAGUAGUUUUUCCGCUGCUUCGAGUUGUUCUGCUGCUUGCAUAGAGCAAUUGAGGAUGGCAUAGUGUCGUCGUGCCGAUGUUAUUCAUUGUAAUAUCGGAGACCUUGUAAUCAUAUUCGUGUAAUAAUAGAAAGCUGUUUUUAAGCAGUUCUGUAUUCCAAAAGACUUCUCCUUGAUCUCUGGGCUAGAAUACAGGGCGUUCCGGUUUUCUCUGAGCCGGGGUGCCACAGUGCACCUCUGAAGAUCAAGGACUGACUAAACAUUGUAAUUCAUGGUAAAAGAGAUCCAGUCAUACUCAAUGUAAAC
rnacentral:lncRNA from 1 species